UUUCCAGACUCCUACGGGAGGCAGCAGUGAGGAAUAUUGGUCAAUGGGCGGAAGCCUGAACCAGCCAAGUCGCGUGAGGGAAUAAGGCCCUACGGGUCGUAAACCUCUUUUGCCGGGGAGCAAGGGCGGGGACGUGUCCCGGCCCGGAGAGUACCCGGAGAAAAAGCAUCGGCUAACUCCGUGCCAGCAGCCGCGGUAAUACGGAGGAUGCGAGCGUUAUCCGGAUUUAUUGGGUUUAAAGGGUGCGUAGGCGGGCUUUUAAGUCAGCGGUAAAAAUUCGGGGCUCAACCCCGUCCGGCCGUUGAAACUGGGGGCCUUGAGUGGGCGAGAAGAAGGCGGAAUGCGUGGUGUAGCGGUGAAAUGCUUAGAUAUUGCGCAGAACUCCGAUUGCGAAGGCAGCAUACCGGCGGCGAUCUGACGCUGAGGCACGAAAGCGUGGGUAUCGAACAGGAUUAGAUACCCGCGUA
rnacentral:rRNA from 1 species